rnacentral:rRNA from 1 species
CGUAGGAUAGUGUAGAGGCAGCAGUGAGGAANAUUGGUCAAUGGGCGAGAGCCUGAACCAGCCAAGUCGCGUGAGGGAAGACGGUCCUACGGAUUGUAAACCUCUUUUGUCGGGGAGCAAUAAAGCGUACGCGUACGCAGAUGCGAGUACCCGAAGAAAAAGCAUCGGCUAACUCCGUGCC